rnacentral:rRNA from 1 species
GUUUGAUCCUGGCUCAGGAUGAACGCUAGCUACAGGCUUAACACAUGCAAGUCGAGGGGCAGCAUGAAUAUUGGCUUGCCAAUAUUUGAUGGCGACCGGCGCACGGGUGAGUAACACGUAUCCAACCUUCCGGUUACUCGGGGAUAGGCUUUCGAAAGAAAGAUUAAUACCCGAUGUUGUGUAUCUUUCUCCUGAUUGAUACGCCAAAGGAUUCCGGUAACCGAUGGGGAUGCGUUCCAUUAGGCAGUUGGCGGGGUAACGGCCCACCAAACCUUCGAUGGAUAGGGGUUCUGAGAGGAAGGUCCCCCACAUUGGAACUGAGACACGGUCCAAACUCCUACGGGAGGCAGCAGUGAGGAAUAUUGGUCAAUGGACGGAAGUCUGAACCAGCCAAGUAGCGUGAAGGAUGACUGCCCUCUGGGUUUAAACUUCUUUUAUACGGGAAUAACAUGAGGUACGGGUACCUUAUUGCAUGUACCGUUAUGAAUAAGCAUCGGCUAACUCCGUGCCAGCAGCCGCGGUAAUACGGAGGAUGCGAGCGUUAUCCGGAUUUAUUGGGUUUAAAGGGAGCGUAGGUGGGAUAUUAAGUCAGCUGUGAAAGUUUGGGGCUCAACCUUAAAAUUGCAGUUGAUACUGGUUUUCUUGAGUACGGUAUAGGUGGGCGGAAUUCGUGGUGUAGCGGUGAAAUGCUUAGAUAUCACGAAGAACUCCUAUUGCGAAGGCAGCUCACUGGACCGGCACUGACACUGAUGCUCGAAAGUGCGGGUAUCAAACAGGAUUAGAUACCCUGGUAGUCCGCACAGUAAACGAUGAAUACUCGCUGUUUGCGAUACACAGUAAGCGGCCAAGCGAAAGCGUUAAGUAUUCCACCUGGGGAGUACGCCGGCAACGGUGAAACUCAAAGGAAUUGACGGGGGCCCGCACAAGCGGAGGAACAUGUGGUUUAAUUCGAUGAUACGCGAGGAACCUUACCCGGGCUUAAAUUGCGCUGGCUUUUACCGGAAACGGUAUUUUCUUCGGACCAGCGUGAAGGUGCUGCAUGGUUGUCGUCAGCUCGUGCCGUGAGGUGUCGGCUUAAGUGCCAUAACGAGCGCAACCCUUAUCUUUAGUUGCCAUCAGGUUUUGCUGGGGACUCUAAAGAGACUGCCGUCGUAAGAUGCGAGGAAGGUGGGGAUGACGUCAAAUCAGCACGGCCCUUACGUCCGGGGCUACACACGUGUUACAAUGGGGAGCACAGCAGGUUGCUACACGGCGACGUGAUGCCAAUCCGUAAAACUCCUCUCAGUUCGGAUCGAAGUCUGCAACCCGACUUCGUGAAGCUGGAUUCGCUAGUAAUCGCGCAUCAGCCACGGCGCGGUGAAUACGUUCCCGGGCCUUGUACACACCGCCCGUCAAGCCAUGAAAGCCGGGGGUACCUGAAGUACGUAACCGCAGGAUCGUCCUAGGGUAAACCUGGUGAUUGGGGCUAAGUCGUAACAAGGUAGCCGUACCGGAAGGUGCGGCUGGAACACCUCCUUUCUGGAGCGAUGCCUUCGGUUUUCGCUCUCUUUAUUUUUGAGACCUAUUUUCGGUUUUUUAUUAUGUACCGCUUGUACUUGUUUAUUUAUAGAUAUUGAUGUAAAUAAUACAAGAGAGAAGAAAGACGCCGAGCCUGUCUUUGUUAUCAGGCCGCGGUUGACUGACAGUCCUAUAGCUCAGUUGGUUAGAGCGCUACACUGAUAAUGUAGAGGUCGGCAGUUCAACUCUGCCUGGGACUACUUCGAACGUUUGUUUUCGGGGGGAUUAGCUCAGCUGGCUAGAGCACCUGCUUUGCACGCAGGGGGUCAACGGUUCGAAUCCGUUAUUCUCCACUCUUGUUGCCCGGUUCGUAUUGUUUUUUUUCAAUCCGGCCGUUGUGCGACAUCCGAUCUUUGACAUGAUGUACAAAAAGUAAAAAACGAAAAGAGCUAAAAGUAUAUAUCAAACCGCCUCUUUUUUUGUUUCCGGUUUUUUCCCCGGGGGCAUUUGGAAGAUGUGUGUAUUUGAAAAGAAAGUAGUUAAGGGCGCAUGGCGGAUGCCUUGGCG